rnacentral:rRNA from 1 species
CGAACGGCAGCACGGACUUCGGUCUGGUGGCGAGCGGCGAACGGGUGAGUAACAUAUCGGAACGUAUCCAAUAAUGGGGGAUAACUAAUCGAAAGGUUGGCUAAUACCGCAUACACCCUACGGGGGAAAGCUAGGGACCUUCGGGCCUGGCGUUAAUGGAGCGGCCGAUAUCUGAUUAGCUAGUUGGUGGGGUAAAGGCCCACCAAGGCGACGAUCAGUAGCUGGUCUGAGAGGACGACCAGCCACACUGGAUCUGAGACACGGUCCAGACUCCUACGGGAGGCAGCAGUGGGGAAUUUUGGACAAUGGGCGCAAGCCUGAUCCAGCCAUUCCGCGUGAGUGAAGAAGGCCUUCGGGUUGUAAAGCUCUUUCGCAAGGGAAGAAAACUUAGAUACUAAUAUUAUCUGAGGUUGACGGUACCUUGAUAAGAAGCACCGGCUAACUACGUGCCAGCAGCCGCGGUAUACGUAGGGUGCGAGCGUUAAUCGGAAUUACUGGGCGUAAAGCGUGCGCAGGCGGUUUUGUAAGUCAGAUGUGAAAUCCCCGAGCUCAACUUGGGAACUGCGUUUGAAACUACAAGACUAGAAUAUGUCAGAGGGGGGUAGAAUUCCACGUGUAGCAGUGAAAUGCGUAGAGAUGUGGAGGAAUACCAAUGGCGAAGGCAGCCCCCUGGGAUAAUAUUGACGCUCAUGCACGAAAGCGUGGGGAGCAAACAGGAUUAGAUACCCUGGUAGUCCACGCCCUAAACGAUGUCUACUAGUUGUUGGUGGAGUAAAAUCCAUGAGUAACGCAGCUAACGCGUGAAGUAGACCGCCUGGGGAGUACGGUCGCAAGAUUAAAACUCAAAUGAAUUGACGGGGGCCCGCACAAGCGGUGGAUUAUGUGGAUUAAUUCGAUGCAACGCGAAAAACCUUACCUGGCCUUGACAUCUAACGAACUUUCCAGAGAUGGAUUGGUGCUCGAAAGAGAACGUUAACACAGGUGCUGCAUGGCUGUCGUCAGCUCGUGUCGUGAGAUGUUGGGUUAAGUCCCGCAACGAGCGCAACCCUUGCCAAUAAUUGCCAUCAUUUAGUUGGGCACUUUAUUGGGACUGCCGAUGACAAAUCGGAGGAAGGUGGGGAUGACGUCAAGUCCUCAUGGCCCUUAUGGCCAGGGCUUCACACGUAAUACAAUGGUCGGUACAGAGGGUUGCCAAGCCGCAAGGUGGAGCCAAUCCCAGAAAGCCGAUCGUAGUCCGGAUCGAGGUCUGCAACUCGACCUCAUGAAGUCGGAAUCGCUAGUAAUCGCGGAUCAGCAUGUCGCGGUGAAUACGUUCCCGGGCCUUGUACACACCGCCCGUCACACCAUGGGAGUGGGUUUUACCAGAAGUAGGUAGUCUAACCUUCGGGGGGACGCUUACCACGGUAGUAUUCAUGACUGGGGUGAAGUCGUAACAAGGUA